rnacentral:rRNA from 1 species
CACGUAGGGCGCAAGCGUUGUCCGGAAUUAUUGGGCGUAAAGAGCUCGUAGGCGGACUGUCACGUCCGCUGUGAAAAGCUAGGGCUUAACCCUGGCCUUGCAGUGGAUACGGGCAGACUAGAGUUCGGUAGGGGAGACUGGAAUUCCUGGUGUAGCGGUGAAAUGCGCAGAUAUCAGGAAGAACACCGAUGGCGAAGGCAGUUCUCUGGGACGGUACUGACGCUGAGACGCGAAAGCGUGGGGAGCGAACAGG